AUGGGCGUUGAGGUCCACCUUCCUUCCAAUGACCUCCCCAUCCAUGUUCACCUUCACCCACCCGGGCACCCGGACCUUCUUCUCGGUCUCAUCCUUGUCUUUCUGCGAGCCGGAAUCAUCGGCGGCAGCCUUCUUGGUUUCGGCAUCCGAGGCAUUGUCUUUCGCCUGGCCGAACAGGCUGUUCAUCCUGAAUGUUCUUAUUGGUGGCCAUCCCACCACUCCAAAGCUGCUGGCACACCAAAAAAAAAAAAACAGGUAGUUUGGAUUAGUCCAGGUGAGGCUUAUAUGGGUAGCUCAGCAAAUCAGGCAACACUGACAUCACAUAAUGUUUCCUUUUGGUGCCAUACACAAAUCUCGAACGGCGGUCAGACAGAUGUGUUUUUGCUGCAUCAGAAUGGCAAAACAACCGCCAGAUAA
rnacentral:rRNA from 1 species